ACGUACCCGACUGACCAUAGGUACAUGCCAAUUUGACCUAUUGAUUGAAGCUACCCAUUGUGACAAUAUUAACCGUCUUGAUCGCCUAAUAUGUGUCCUCGAUGGCCAUAUAUCUCAUAAGCUCGAAUGCAUCAUUAAAUACUGAUCUCGACAUCUCAUAUAUCUGAACAGGUCUCGAAGCCAAAAUUGCAAGGAUCGACGACGCAAGGGAUAACGAGUAAAAACAUCUUUUGAGCUUUCAAAUUAGCCGGCCGUCUAUCGACAUUCGCUAACGUUUUUGGGACUGCCCGUUGAAGGACUUCCGUGCGAUUUCAUGAGAAAUUCGCUUAAUUCGACUAAUGACUCGAAAGGAAAGUGGCAUAUGCUCGAACUGUAACAGCGAUUUUAUAUAAACCUUGAUCAAAGCAUCCAAUCCCAAAUGUAAUUCUCGCUGUAAGUCUCGCUGUUUAACGUUUUCCAAGUGGCUAAUUACAUGCGUGCAAUUACGUCUACGUAUUAAAGUGCACGCGUGUCUUCCGGAGUUGACGGACACACAGAAUUUACAUGCGUGCUACGAAAAUUAAAAAUCAGGUAAUUCCACGGAUAAUUCCAUAGAGAAACGAGAAUGCUAAACUUCGAACAAAUUACGAGCCGAACAUUACGAAACCAGUUACGGAAAUUGGCUCGUAAACAACCUCUCAGGAGGAGAUGUUAAGAACUUUAUGCGACGGUAUGAACCACAAUCACGACCUGUUCGCCGUUAAGAUCUCGCCGCCACACCCUCGUCUCCAAUUGUAAAUUUAUUCAAGAGCCUAGAUGGUCUUGAUCGGUCACGCUCAACCUAUCAGCCUGAACAAACAACUAUCAGCCAUCGAGUCUUCGCGGACAAUAACAAACCUUUCAACCUGUUGGAUCGACCGCGAAUUAAUUGAAUUGGACGUUCCGCGAUUACUUUUUCACAGGCACGUAAAAAGCGGAGCAUGAUGCGAACGAAAGGGUGAUUUUGAAAGAGUACGUUCUUGAAACUGCGCUCGCGAAAAAAGAAAGAAUAGAAAAAAGAAAGACACGGGAGACACGCAUCAUGAUCGUUCGCAAUAAAUUGAAUUUAAAUUAUUUUUUCAAACUCUAAACGCGACGUGCGGCGCGAGAGAUCUGGCGCCGUUACUCCGUUAAUCGUGACCACGGGAUUCUCUCAUCGUGUACAUUCCAUUUUGAUACAAACAUUCGCGAGAAACUCGAUACUUCGACGCGCCGCUGAAUUCUGUUCUGUGAAAACGUAAGCGAGUUCAUCGUGGUCGUGGCCCCUUUGUUCCGCCGCGUAAACUGCAAACGAACCCGCCGGGGUAAAGCCACCCUUCGAGCGCCACUUAAAUUACGGGAUUUUCACGGGUACAAAGGCGUCAGCAAGGAGCGACGUGUCCGGCAUUAUCACGGGAUCUGGAGGGACAAUGCUAUUGCUGGGUGUAGCAGCCGCGCGGGCACGGCGCGGCGCAUAAUAAUUUUCACUUUACUUACGGGAGAUAGCCGCGACAAUUAUCCAAGCAUGCCGCCGACAAAGACUGUCGGUCGUAAUUUUACGAGUGGCUCCAGCAAUCUUCUUCGCGAUAAACCUUCUCCCCCGCGGAGAAUCUCUCCGUUGGGAAUUCUCCGCGGAUUAUUUUGCAAUUCGUGAGUAAUACUGUAUCGGCCGAUAAAAUAAUUGAAGAAGGCACGAGAAGAGCACUUCCCUCUCUUUCGGGUAUGCGUCAAUAUUGCUGCGAACGCUUUCAUUUCAUCGGAAAAUAAACUGAUACUCGAGAAAAUAUAUAAAUAUAAGAGAAUAACCCCGACUGUUCUAAAUGCUUAAAGAUAAUUGACAGAUAACGAGAAUAUUAUUGUACAAAUUAUCAAGCAGAAUUCUCAUAAGAAUUAAUGCUUUUUAUAUAUGUAUAAAAAUAUAAACUACACAUGUGUAAAAGUAGAAACAA